AUGAACGCUGGCGGCGUGCCUAAUCCAUGCCAGUCGAGCGAACAGACGAGGAGCUUGCUCCUCUGACGUUAGCGGCGGACGGGGGAGUAACACGUGGAUAACCUACCUAUAAGACUGGGAUAACUUCGGGAAACCGGAGCUAAUACCGGAUAAUAUAUUGAACCGCAUGGUUCAAUAGUGAAAGACGGUUUUGCUGUCACUUAUAGAUGGAUCCGCGCCGCAUUAGCUAGUUGGUAAGGUAACGGCUUACCAAGGCAACGAUGCGUAGCCGACCUGAGAGGGUGAUCGGCCACACUGGAACUGAGACACGGUCCAGGCUCCUACGGGAGGCAGCAGUAGGGAAUCUUCCGCAAUGGGCGAAAGCCUGACGGAGCAACGCCGCGUGAGUGAUGAAGGUCUUCGGAUCGUAAAACUCUGUUAUUAGGGAAGAACAAAUGUGUAAGUAACUAUGCACGUCUUGACGGUACCUAAUCAGAAAGCCACGGCUAACUACGUG
rnacentral:rRNA from 1 species